rnacentral:rRNA from 1 species
UGGGGAAUAUUGGACAAUGGGGGCAACCCUGAUCCAGCAAUGCCGCGUGUGUGAAGAAGGUCUUCGGAUUGUAAAGCACUUUCGACGGGGACGAUGAUGACGGUACCCGUAGAAGAAGCCCCGGCUAACUUCGUGCCAGCAGCCGCGGUAAUACGAAGGGGGCUAGCGUUGCUCGGAAUGACUGGGCGUAAAGGGCGUGUAGGCGGUUUACACAGUCAGAUGUGAAAUCCCCGGGCUUAACCUGGGAGCUGCAUUUGAUACGUGUAGACUAGAGUGUGAGAGAGGGUUGUGGAAUUCCCAGUGUAGAGGUGAAAUUCGUAGAUAUUGGGAAGAACACCGGUGGCGAAGGCGGCAACCUGGCUCAUGACUGACGCUGAGGCGCGAAAGCGUGGGGAGCAAACAGGAUUAGAUACCCUGGUAGUCCACGCUGUAAACGAUGUGUGCUAGAUGUUGGGUAACUUUGUU